rnacentral:rRNA from 1 species
AUUGAACGCUGGCGGUAUGCUUAACACAUGCAAGUCGAACGGUAGCAUGACUUAGCUUGCUAAGUUGAUGACGAGUGGCGAACGGGUGAGUAACGCGUAGGAAUAUGCCUUAAAGUGGGGGACAACUUGGGGAAACUCAAGCUAAUACCGCAUAAUUUCCUUGGAAAAAAGCUGGGGACCUUCGGGCCUGGCGCUUUAAGAUUAGCCUGCGUACGAUUAGCUAGUUGGUAGGGUAAAGGCCUACCAAGGCGACGAUCGUUAGCUGGUCUGAGAGGAUGACCAGCCACACUGGAACUGAGACACGGUCCAGACUCCUACGGGAGGCAGCAGUGGGGAAUAUUGGACAAUGGGGGCAACCCUGAUCCAGCAAUACCGCGUGUGUGAAGAAGGCCUGAGGGUUGUAAAGCACUUUCAGUGGGGAGGAGGGUAUUUAGGUUAAGAGCUAGAAUACUGGACGUUACCCACAGAAGAAGCACCGGCUAACUCCGUGCCAGCCGCCGCGGUAA